rnacentral:rRNA from 1 species
UACGUAGGUGGCAAGCGUUGUCCGGAUUUAUUGGGUUUAAAGGGUGCGUAGGCGGCCCUGUAAGUCAGUGCUGAAAUCUCCCGGCUUAACUGGGAGGGGUCAGCAGAUACUGUCGGGCUUGAGGCAGGUAGAGGAAGGUGGAAUUCCCGGUGUAGUGGUGAAAUGCGUAGAUAUCGGGAGGAACACCAGUGGCGAAGGCGGCCUUCUGGGCCUGUCCUGACGCUGAGGCGCGAAAGCGUGGGGAGCGAACCGG